UAGGGAAUUUUCGUCAAUGGGCGCAAGCCUGAACGAGCAAUGCCGCGUGAGUGAGGAAGGCCUCGGUCGUAAAGCUCUGUUGCGAGGGAAAAAGGAACGGAAGAGGAAAU
rnacentral:rRNA from 1 species